UCGUGGUGUGACUGCGUACCUUUUGUAUAAUGGGUCAGCGACUUAUAUUCAGUGGCAAGGUUAACCGUAUAGGGGAGCCGUAGCGAAAGCGAGUCUUAACUGGGCGCUCAGUCUCUGGAUAUAGACCCGAAACCGGGUGAUCUAGCCAUGGGCAGGUUGAAGGUUGAGUAACAUCAACUGGAGGACCGAACCGACUAAUGUUGAAAAAUUAGCGGAUGACUUGUGGCUAGGGGUGAAAGGCCAAUCAAACUCGGAGAUAGCUGGUUCUCCCCGAAAGCUAUUUAGGUAGCGCCUCGGACGAAUACUACUGGGGGUAGAGCACUGUUAAGGCUAGGGGGUCAUCCCGACUUACCAACCCUUUGCAAACUCCGAAUACCAGUAAGUACUAUCCGGGAGACACACGGCGGGUGCUAACGUCCGUCGUGGAGAGGGAAACAACCCAGACCGCCAGCUAAGGUCCCAAAGUAUUGCUAAGUGGGAAACGAUGUGGGAAGGCUCAGACAGCUAGGAUGUUGGCUUAGAAGCAGCCAUCAUUUAAAGAAAGCGUAAUAGCUCACUAGUCGAGUCGGCCUGCGCGGAAGAUGUAACGGGGCUAAGCAAUACACCGAAGCUGCGGCAAUGUCUUUUAGACAUUGGGUAGGGGAGCGUUCUGUAA
rnacentral:rRNA from 1 species